GACGAACGCUGGCGGCGUGCCUAAUACAUGCAAGUCGAGCGAAGUUUUUCUGGUGCUUGCACUAGAAAAACUUAGCGGCGAACGGGUGAGUAACACGUAAAGAACCUGCCUCAUAGACUGGGACAACUAUUGGAAACGAUAGCUAAUACCGGAUAACAGUAUUUCUCGCAUGAGAGAUAUUUAAAAGUUGGUUAUGCUAACACUAUGAGAUGGCUUUGCGGUGCAUUAGCUAGUUGGUGGGGUAAAGGCCCACCAAGGCGACGAUGCAUAGCCGACCUGAGAGGGUGAUCGGCCACACUGGGACUGAGACACGGCCCAGACUCCUACGGGAGGCAGCAGUAGGGAAUCCUCCGCAAUGGGCGAAAGCCUGACGGAGCAACGCCGCGUGAGUGAAGAAGGAUUUCGGUUCGUAAAGCUCUGUUGUUAGGGAAGAAUGGAUAUGUAGUAACUAUACAUGUAAGAGACGGUACCUAACCAGAAAGCCACGGCUAACUACGU
rnacentral:rRNA from 1 species